YGAACGACUCUCGGCAACGGAUAUCUCGGCUCUUGCAUCGAUGAAGAACGUAGCGAAAUGCGAUACUUGGUGUGAAUUGCAGAAUCCCGUGAACCAUCGAGUCUUUGAACGCAAGUUGCGCCCGAGGCCAUUAGGUCGAGGGCACGUCUGCCUGGGCGUCACAC
rnacentral:rRNA from 1 species